rnacentral:rRNA from 1 species
GACGAACGCUGGCGGCGUGCUUAACACAUGCAAGUCGAACGGAAAGGCCCUGCUUUUGUGGGGUGCUCGAGUGGCGAACGGGUGAGUAACACGUGAGUAACCUGCCCUUGACUUUGGGAUAACUUCAGGAAACUGGGGCUAAUACCGGAUAGGAGCUCCUGCUGCAUGGUGGGGGUUGGAAAGUUUCGGCGGUUGGGGAUGGACUCGCGGCUUAUCAGCUUGUUGGUGGGGUAGUGGCUUACCAAGGCUUUGACGGGUAGCCGGCCUGAGAGGGUGACCGGCCACAUUGGGACUGAGAUACGGCCCAGACUCCUACGGGAGGCAGCAGUGGGGAAUAUUGCACAAUGGGCGGAAGCCUGAUGCAGCAACGCCGCGUGCGGGAUGACGGCCUUCGGGUUGUAAACCGCUUUCGCCUGUGACGAAGCGUGAGUGACGGUAAGGGGUAAAGAAGCACCGGCUAACUACGUGC